GAGCGCGUAGCUCAGUUGGCUAGAGCAUCUGGUUUACACCCAGGAGGUCGCGGGUUCGAAUCCCUCCGCGCUCACCA
rnacentral:tRNA from 3 species